CUCUGUUGCCCAGACUGGAGUGCAGUGGUGCAAGCAUAGCUCACUGCAGUCUUGAUCUCACAGGCUCUAGCAAUCCUCUUGCCUCUGCCUGCCUAGGCUGAGGGGCUACAGGACUACAGGGACCGAGGGGCUACAGUGCAGCUGGGACUACAGGUGCACACCACCACACCUGGUUAAUUUUUAAAAUUAUCUGUAGAGAUGGUGUCUUGCUAUAUUGCCCAGGCUAGUCUCAAACUCCUGAACUCAAGCAAUCCUCCCACGUUGGCCUUUCAAACUGAUGGGAUUACAGGCAUGAGCCAUUGUGCCCACCCUAAAUUUAGACUUUAAAAAUAAAUGUAUAUUUUACUCAUUUCAACAGCAUCUACAUAUUGUUGAAAACAUCUUCAUUUAGACUUGCUUAUUUAAGCAUUCAACAAACACUUAUUGAACAUCAACAAUGUACUGUCAGAUAGGUUUCUGAUUUCAUGGAGUUUACCUUGUAGUGAAGGAGGGGCAAAGAAAAGGUAAGAUAAUCUCAGAUAAUGACAAGUACUCUGAAGAAAUUAAAAUAGGAUAUGAUAGAAAACAUUACUUAAGAUGGGUGUUCAGGGAAGACCUCUCUGAGGGGAUUGCCUUUAAGCUGAGACUUGAGUGACAAGGAGUAAGUGAAAGUAUCAUCUGCCUACAGUCAAGGAGUGACACAUAUACACAUAAAUUUAAGUCCCCAGAUUAAGAACCACUGUCAGCCAGGAGCAGUGACUCAUGCCUGUAGUCUCAGCACUUUGGGAGGCUAAGGUGGGAGGAUUGCUUGAACCCAAGAGUUUGAGACCAGCCUGCAUAAGAGGGUGAGACUCCAUCUCUACAAAAAUAAUAAAAAAAUAAGCUAGGCAUGGUGAUGCGUACCUGUAGUCCCCUUAGCUUGUUCAGUUCAGGUCACGUGAGCCAAGAUAUUCCUUUCUUGGCUCUAAACCAUAGGUUUGAGUUUUUGUCAGUAAAAUAGGGCCAAGAGCCUGGAUUUUCAGUCUAGGGUGCUGGAAAGGUUAAUUGAUGCCUGUAACAUUCUUUAAGAUCUUUAGAUGAAAGACUCGGGGCUGUAUACAGAAUUACCAAGGGCUUGGAAGCUCUUCCCUUCCAAGCCCCAGGGAAAAUCCCUUCAUAUCAGUAACCUAGGCCUUUCCUCUCCAGUCUGUAGCUGUGGGACAAUGGUUCUCAAACUUUUGCAGGCAUUAGAAUCAAAGGUUGUGAUGUGAAUUCCCAGGCUCUCUGCCUGAGAUUCUGAUUCUCCCUGAGGUUCUGAAUUCUUACCUUCUUAGUUCUGUAUUCUUCUGUACCCUUGUCUGGUGUCUCAUGCUUCCCAAUACUCUACAUUUUUGUCUCUGCAAAUGGAUCUGAGGGUGUACUUGUCCAUAUAAACUAUUGUCAGAGACAUCUUUGGCUUUUUUUUUUCCCUGAAGGCAAUCCAGAGCAGAGAUUGGGGAAGGCAGGAAUGUGUCUGUAUCUACUUCUCAAAUGUACAUUGACAUUCAUUAGGAGGAGAGUUUGGGAUAAUUAUUUGAAUGAAAGGAGGGAGGAAUUGCUGACUGGCACAAAAUGAGAGAAGUCAAAUCCAUGAGUGUUUUGGUUGAAGAAUAUGAAGAAAAUCUGGCUCAACACAGCUAUGUAGUUGGAAAAGGAAGAAAUACUUCAACAGAUUUUUCAGAAAACUGGAUAUUCCCUUCAAUACACCAAAAUCCAACAACUGUUAGUUUCUUAAAGGUUGAGACCAUAACUAUAAAAUGU
rnacentral:lncRNA from 10 species